AAUGAACGUUGGCGGCGUGGAUUAGGCAUGCAAGUCGAGCGAGAACCGGAGCAAUCCGGGGAAAGCGGCAAACGGGGUAGUAAUGUGUCGGUACGUGCCCUCAGGACGGGGAUAGCCAGGGGAAACUCUGAUUAAUACCCGAUAAUCUCGAGAGAGCAAAGGUCCGCUGCCGGAGGAGCGGCCGACAUGGUAUCAGGUAGUUGGUGAGGUAACGGCUCACCAAGCCUUAGACGCCUAGGGGCGUGAGAGCGCGACCCCCACCACUGGGACUGAGAUACUGCCCAGACACCUACGGGUGGCAG
rnacentral:rRNA from 1 species